GAUGAACGCUGGCGGCGUGCCUAAUACAUGCAAGUCGAGCGAACGGACGAGAAGCUUGCUUCUCUGAUGUUAGCGGCGGACGGGUGAGUAACACGUGGAUAACCUACCUAUAAGACUGGGAUAACUUCGGGAAACCGGAGCUAAUACCGGAUAAUAUUUUGACCGCCAGGGUUCAAAAUUGAAAAAGGGUUUUGCGGUCACUUAUAGAUGGAUCCGCGCUGCAUUAGCUAGUUGGUAAGGUAACGGCUUACCAAGGCAACGAUGCAUAGCCGACCUGAGAGGGUGAUCGGCCACACUGGAACUGAGACACGGUCCAGACUCCUACGGGAGGCAGCAGUAGGGAAUCUUCCGCAAUGGGCGAAAGCCUGACGGAGCAACGCCGCGUGAGUGAUGAAGGUCUUCGGAUCGUAAAACUCUGUUAUUAGGGAAGAACAUAUGUGUAAGUAACUGUGCACAUCUUGACGGUACCUAAUCAGAAAGCCACGGCUAACUACGUG
rnacentral:rRNA from 1 species